UCAUUAUUACUGAUUAGGAAGAAAGGUAAUGAGACAAUAAAAUCGGCUACCAGUGCUUUCAACCAAUUGAAUUAGGAGGUUUUUAUUUCCCAUUCAUGACUUUAGUGUUAGUUCUUAUGAAACUUUGUACCUAGCUUAGUUUAGAAGCUCUUUAAUUCACCUUCGACGAAUUGCAGUACUCCGUGGAGUUUAUGUAAUGAAGUUUGCGAAGUGAUACAUGCCACAGACUUUUUUGAGCCAUAUUAUAACUUUCAUUUUCAAAUGAAUUGAGAAUGGUACAAGUACCCACUAAUGUCCAUGUACCACCAUCUUCAACAUUCCGUAUGAACUUUAAACACAUUUAGAAAAGGAGUGAUUCUCUUAAUAUGCUCAGUAGCAUUCAGUACCGACGCUACUGCCGAAACGAUGGAAAAUGUUCACACAACGAUCAUCAUGUUUAUUUUAUAUGCUUUCGACUACAAAAUCCUUAGUCCUUAGAGUUUUGGUUGCUUUAAGGUAAUGGCACUAAAAUUUUCGACUCAACUUCAGAAGUAUAAUUGGGAAUAAUGUCUAUUUAUUUGUAUACUCUGAUCAAGCUCAUUGUAUGCAUGGGCUCUUUACAAAUCAUUAAAAAAGAUUUGGACUAUUCCAACAAAACUUUUAGUUCAUCAUAAUAUAUAUCCAAUUUUACAGUUUUAACGUUUCC